rnacentral:rRNA from 1 species
UACAGAGGUCUCAAGCGUUGUUCGGAUUCAUUGGGCGUAAAGGGUGCGUAGGCGGCGCGGUAAGUCGGGUGUGAAAUCUCGGGGCUUAACUCCGAAACUGCAUUCGAUACUGCCGUGCUUGAGGACUGGAGAGGAGACUGGAAUUUACGGUGUAGCGGUGAAAUGCGUAGAUAUCGGGAGGAACACCAGUGGCGAAGGCGACUUCCUGGCCUGUUCUUGACGCUGAGGCGCGAAAGCUAGGGGAGCAAACGGG